CCGAUCAGCUCUCCUUGGGAAUGUGAAAUAAGAGAUGCAGAGGGAUGUUGCCAGUUAGUUGUGGGGAGCUAAGCUGAGAGGUCCAGUACACCAAGAUGCUGGUUGGGUUGGGAGUGCUAUGGACUAGGUCAAGUGCCUGUUGAACAGCUAAAUGUAGUUGGCCAAGCAAGGACAUGGGGCAGUUGUGCAGAGAGAAGCAGGCUUGUGACGUGGAUGAGCCAUAUGAACGACAGACCUCUAGAGCAGAGAGGUUCAUGCUACAGCUAGACAUUUCCUCAAGCUCCAGGUACAAUGAGCUCUAUUUGAAUUCCUACCCUUGGAUUUCUGCUUCCUGAUCUUGCUUCAUUUGGUUUCUGUUUCUUGCAUCCAAAAGAGGCCCAACCCAAGCAACCCUUUCCAUAGAUUCCAUUUAAUUUGUGCUUCAUCCCCUCAGAGGGGUUGGGGUUGUAGUGCUGAACCACCACACCUGACAUUACUGUUUGGGAAGGUCACCAGCCUUCUCAUACUGAAGGGGAAGAGCCAAGCCUUUGUUGAAAUAUACAUGCAAGAGGUUGCUGACACCACACGUAUCAGUGCCAUGCUGCCAGUCCAACUAUGUCUAGUUCUUCAAGCACAAGGUGCUCAAGACCAAUAGCUCCCCACACAAGGUGCAUGCCAAUCGGGUAAUCUUACAGGUGGUGAAGUCAGUACAUUUGAGAAACCUGGUCUUCAUGGGCUCCAGUGGCCCACAUACACCAAGAUGGUGAUGGUUGACCAGAACACCGAACUCAGGAUCAUCAUGGGAAAAUCUCUGCUACUCAGUGAUCCUGGAUGCUCUGCACCAGGCCUUCUUCAAGUGUGGCACUGUCCUCAGUAUCAUCAUCUUCACUAAGACCAACCAUUUCCAGGCAUACUAUCAGCAGCAGUUGCAACUGCAUCAUCAUUUCAAGUCUGAAGGUGUCAGGGAUUCCAUCUUGCUGGCUGGCAACCUGAACACAAGAAAGCACAGAGCCAAGCCCCUUUAUUCUCUUCAGUAUCUAUGGUUAUGUGAAGCAGGUGAAGAUCUUGUUCAACAAGGCGAAGACAGCAGGUAGGCCCAGCUGGCCAUGAGGCACCCAAACAAACUAUAUGGGGAGCCAAUGCAUAUUACAACAUCAAAGCACCAGAGUGUGCAGCUGCCUUGUGAGGGGCAGGAAGACUGGCUUCACCAAAGACGCUGAUAGCUCACCAGUGCACUGCUUCAAGAAGCUGGGCCCCAAGUUCUUUAAGAAUUUCUUCCUGUUCUCAGCCAUCCGGCAACUCAUCAACAUCCCUUCCUCAGUGUCAGAGCAGUUCCUCAAGAACUUCUCAAGCAACAAGGGCAUGACCAAGGGCUUCAAAUUCUUUCAGGGACUGCAGCCCUGAAUUCAUGCUCUCUGUCCCAUCCAUCAUCCCUACUAGAAGAACUACAUGAUGGUUCUGAUCCAGAUAAGUUUGUUGGAGGAAGAAGUGCAGGCACCCAUUAAGCUGCAAAUCCACGACCAAAGCAUCCCUGAACAAAAAGAAUAAUGCUGGUGGGAUUGUUACUCCAGAAUUCAGGAUAUAUUAUAGAUCUCUAGUAAUGAAAAUAUGGCACUGACAUCAAAGAGACAUGUAUGCCAAUGGGACAAAAUAGAAGACCCAAACAUGAGUACUUGUAACUGCAGCCAUCUGCUAUUUGAUAAAGAGGCAAAAAACAUACCCUGGAGAAAAGACAGAGCAUCUUCAACAAGUGGUGGGUAAAGCUGAAGACUGUAUGGCGACAUGCAGAUGAAUGGAUCGGACUCAUACCUGUCCAAUCAUACCCAACAUUAGAUCCAAGUGUACCAAUGACUUCAAUUUGAAACCUGCAACAUUAAAGCUGCUGGAAGUAAACAUAUGCAGUUUCCUUCAAGAGAUAAAUGAAGGGAAGGACCUUCUCAACAGGACCACAUUUGUUCAGGAAUUAAGGUCAGCAAUUGACAACAGGGACCUCAUAAAACUGAAGAGCUUUUGUGCAGCUAAGGAAAUAAUCAAGUGAAGAGGAAGCCUACAGAAUGGGAGAGGGUCAUUGCCAGCUACACAUCUGUUAGAGGGCUAAUAUCUACAAUAUAUGAGGAACUCAAAGAACAAAGAGUCAAGGAAACAAACAGCCCAAUUAAAAAGUGGGCUGGGGAUGUAGACAAUUUCAACAGAAGAAAUAGAAAGGGCUAAGAAAUACCUCAGAAAAAGUGUCCAACUUCCUUAGCAAUUAGGGUAAUGUAAACUAACCCAACGUUGACAAUUCUUAACGAGACUACUGACAACAAAUGCUGCUGCAGAUAUGUCAGCGGGAAUGUCAACUGGCACAGCCACUCUGAAAGUCCAUAUGGAGGAUCCUCAAAAAGCUAAAAAUAGCUCUACAAAAUAACCCAGCUCUACCCUUCGGCAUAUGCCCAAGGGGUAUCCUCCUCUACAGAUUCUUACCUGACUCUGUUCACUGUUGCUCUAUAGCUAGGAAAUGGAAACAAAUGAGAUGUCUGACAACUGACAAUUGAAUAAUGAAGAAGGUCUAAGAAUCCAGUAGUUAUUCAGUGCCAGAGGCUGGAUAUCUCAGCCGAUCUUCAGAAUAUGUCAGAGCCCUGGCAAAGUAGGCUCUAAUGCUCGUAAAGGGAUGGACUUGCUAACAAGGCGAGAGCAAGCACGCAAGGAAAGAGCAAGCUGCCUUCUUCGAUGUCCUUCCUAUAGGCUUCCAACAGAAGGUGUGGCCCAGGUUAAAGAAAGAAGCAUCAGCUGGGUUGAGCCUGGAUUCAGUAAGCUUCCGUUUCCUAUGGAGGAUGGGAGGGCACAUUAAAAUACAUGAAACCAGCAUUCAAGCAAUGGAAUUGCAAUGUCACUUCCUCCCACUCUACAACUCACUCUCCUUUGACUAUAAUAUACAUCUCCAAUCCUGGAAACUUGUUUUUAAUGGUGAUAACAAAGAGACCACAAGAAGAUCCAAGAUCAGAAUUAGGCCUACCAACUCACUGCUUCUAUUUCUGCCACCCGCACCCUGCAAGACAGUCACCCUAAGAAACAAAUGCCAGCCCUUGUUCAAUCCUGAACAGGUGCAAGUUACAGUUUUAUGUAUGGCCAGCCUGGCUAUCAGAACAAUAAUUGUCCCAGAGCAAGGCUUCCUGUUCUUAUGCUUUGCCCAGUAAAUAAAUCAGAUACAUGUCCACAUGGAGACUGAGC
rnacentral:lncRNA from 1 species